rnacentral:rRNA from 1 species
GACGGAGGAUGCAAGUGUUAUCCGGAAUCACUGGGCGUAAAGCGUCUGUAGGUGGUUUAAUAAGUCAACUGUUAAAUCUUGAUGGCUCAACUUCAAAAUCGCAGUCGAAACUAUUAGACUAGAGUAUAGGAGAGGUAAAGGGAAUUUCCAGUGGAGCGGUGAAAUGCGUAGAGAUUGGAAAGAACACCGAUGGCGAAAGCACUUUACUAGGCUAUUGCUAACACUCAGAGACGAAAGCUAGGGUAGCAAAUGGG